GACCCAGACCGAGGGAGACCCAGCGGAGCGCACGCCCAGGAAGGAGAGAGCCGGAGAGUUCGGGAGUGGAGACCCCCAGCGAUGGGAGCAGAGGGAUCGAGAGAGAUCAGGCCACUGCCCCCGCCCCUUUCUGGGCCUCAGCGUCCUUACCUGUCCCAAGAAGAUGCUGACACUUGGCUCCAGGCAGGCUGUGAGAACUGAAUGAGCUCCUGCCGGUUUCUGUCUUACCUAGCAAAAGGCAGACAAAGCAGGAAUGGAGAGGCGGUUUCUUCUAGAUCUAUGGGCACACCUCCGGCUGCAACCGCCCAGAAGAUACCCGCGGGGAGUCCCACACCCUACCCCCAGAUGAAGGACCAGGAAGACGACCCCGGAUGGGCCCAGUCAGCCUGGCUCCCCUUCAGCCCCGCGACCCCCGCGCCCCGCGGCGGCGUCAGCACCUGCAACGAAGCGUGUCCUCUUCCUUCUUUACGUCAGCCUUCGGUUCUGAUUGCCCCGGGUCAGAGCAAGCCAGCAGUGGUGACAGCGGCUCUAGGGCCGGCGUGUGGGUCGGUGUCAGUGGGUAGCGCGGGGCGGAGUUCGCCUGGACCCGGUCCGGAUCUUUCUCUCCCGCCCGCAACCCGUUCCCUGCUCUUGCUCCUAGUGUUCGAUUUUGAGUCUGAAGACAUCUGUCCUGCCUUCGAAACAGGAAUUCUCAGGGUUAAAAAACUAUCCCGUCCUCAGCUCGUAGGUCACAGGUCCCGGGGACCCGAAGUCACCUUCCCAUUAGAAAAGCGGGUCUCUGCGACGCCUUCCUGAAUGAGAGUUUCGAGGACUUUUCGUUUUGAAUCAUUUCAAACCCCUGAGAGCUCGGGGCUCGAAUCGUGUUUUGGGACAACGUCUUUAAGACACGCUCGUCCCUCUCCCGUUCAAAUUCUCCCUCUUCGAGUAAUUUACAAAUUUGUUCGUUUGGAAUUGGUGGCUUGUUUUUGUUUUGUAACAUUUUUUUAAUGCGUGAUUUUAUUUAGAAGUGUGCGUUUUAAAAGAUAGAUCCGUAGGUAAGUAGUAACUGCCCGGGGGACCCAGGGCGAUCACGCUGAGCACUGCGCAGACCCUGGGCCUCUCCCUGGGCGUGUCCCGCCUCCAUCUCAAGCCCAUCCCUCCGCCCGCCGGCAGGCUCCCGCAGCAACCUUGGAUCCAAGUCCUGGAAGAAACACCUCCAGGAUAGUGGUGGUCGCCGGUGCCUAGGCUGGUGGGUGCCAAAGAGAUCGCGUGUGGGCUCCUCCCCACGGCGCGCACAAACUCUUCCAGAACGUGCACAGCCGUGGGCGUUGUGCACCUGUGACGAGGGCGCCCGGCCAAGGAUCCUGGGUCUGAUUGCCGCCCGGCUCGGAGAGCUCUGGCCUUCUGAGGAAAGCAAGGGCCGUGGUGGUCACCCCAUCCUGGCAGGUGCCAGGGCGCCCGCUCGCCUCAGGUCUCUGCCCCUCUGAAACCGCGAAGCUACCUCCGCGAGAAGCCUCCGCGACGCAUAGAAAAGGAGAGGACUCCUAACGGAAGCCGGGUAUCUUUAGCCGGACCCGCGAGACACGGGUGAAAAAGUCUCGAGCUUUUCCUUUCACUCUUUUUUCUUUUCCUUCCUUAUUUACCCUCCAUUUCCUCUUCCCUCUCUCCCUCCAUUUACCCUCUUUAUUUCUUCUUGUAUUGUUAACUCGCCCUCUUCCGCCUGCUACUACUCCUGUUGCUCUCUUGCUCUCUCCUUCCUUGCUGCCUCCCCCUUUCCCAGUUUCUUUCAGUCAGAAAUACCGCCAAGCCAAGCCGCAGUUUGUCCUCUAAUAAUAAGGGGACAGGCCUCGCACUCACCCCCACCCCCCAGGUGCCAGAUGCAAAGCUCUUGGAGGGUUCUGUGAACGGUGUACGUGGGCCAGGGUCUCCUCUCAGCCAGAAGGGCAGCCUGGGGGAGGAGGAGGCAGGCCCCAGUCAAGCAAGUCACCCUGGCCCUGUCCCACAGACAGGUGAAGGGGGACCACAACACCUUCUCCAGGAUGUCUUCCAGAAACAGGCGGGAAGCCAGAUAACAUUGCCACAUUCAAGCAGGGACUCACACUGGCAUCUCUCCUCCUUGACACAGAAGUCCCUUCUCCACCGGAGGAUAGGGAGGGGGGCUACAGGAAACAGAGGUCACAGCCACCCCACCCCUCUGAAGCUAGGCCAAGGCCAGCCUCUCUUCCCUGAGCUCCAUGCCAGCCCUCCUCCCUCCUGCUGGUCUUAGCAAGAGGAAUGGGACAGGGGCCUGGUGCCCCGUCCAGGGUUACUAGGCUUACCUACCCCCCCACACCUGUGCUUCCUGCAUCCUCUUAUACUUGCUUCUUGGUGCCAGAACAGACUCACAGGCCCUGCUCAUAAAUGCCCAAAUGCCAUGCAGAGCACACAGGGAGGCCACAAUGAGCCCAGGACCCCUGGCUUCAGGUUCUUCCCUGUUACUGGCUUUGAGCAAGCCCAUUCCCUGACCAAGUUCUGUCUCCCCAAAUGAAAAGACAACAGGGAAAGGACUGGACGAAUCCUUCUUCUUGCCAAUUUUAACAGCCUAGGCCAGGGGUUGUAAAACAUUUU